AGCAUAUCAAUAAGCGGAGGAAAAGAAACCAACAGGGAUUGCCCUAGUAACGGCGAGUGAAGCGGCAACAGCUCAAAUUUGAAAUCUGGCCCUCGCGGUCCGAGUUGUAAUUUGUAGAGGAUGCUUUUGGUGCGGUGCCUUCCGAGUUCCCUGGAACGGGACGCCAUAGAGGGUGAGAGCCCCGUCUGGUUGGACACCAAUCCUCUGUAAAGCUCCUUCGACGAGUCGAGUAGUUUGGGAAUGCUGCUCUAAAUGGGAGGUAAAUGUCUUCUAAAGCUAAAUACCGGCCAGAGACCGAUAGCGCACAAGUAGAGUGAUCGAAAGAUGAAAAGCACUUUGAAAAGAGGGUUAAAUAGUACGUGAAAUUGUUGAAAGGGAAGCGUUUGUGACCAGACUUGGGCUUGGUUAAUCAUCCAGCGUUCUCGCUGGUGCACUUUGCCAGCCCAGGCCAGCAUCAGUUCGCCGCGGGGGAUAAAAGCUUCGGGAAUGUGGCUCUUCGGAGUGUUAUAGCCCGCUGCACAAUACCCUGUGGUGGACUGAGGUUCGCGCAUCUGCAAGGAUGC
rnacentral:rRNA from 1 species